GAGCACUGUUUCGGCUAGGGGGCCAUCCCGGCUUACCAACCCGAUGCAAACUGCGAAUACCGGAGAAUGUUAUCACGGGAGACACACGGCGGGUGCUAACGUCCGUCGUGAAGAGGGAAACAACCCAGACCGCCAGCUAAGGUCCCAAAGUCAUGGUUAAGUGGGAAACGAUGUGGGAAGGCCCAGACAGCCAGGAUGUUGGCUUAGAAGCAGCCAUCAUUUAAAGAAAGCGUAAUAGCUCACUGGUCGAGUCGGCCUGCGCGGAAGAUGUAACGGGGCUAAACCAUGCACCGAAGCUGCGGCAGCGACGCUGAUGCGUUGUUGGGUAGGGGAGCGUUCUGUAAGCCUGCGAAGGUGGCCUGUGAGGGUUGCUGGAGGUAUCAGAAGUGCGAAUGCUGACAUAAGUAACGAUAAAGCGGGUGAAAAGCCCGCUCGCCGGAAGACCAAGGGUUCCUGUCCAACGUUAAUCGGGGCAGGGUGAGUCGACCCCUAAGGCGAGGCCGAAAGGCGUAGUCGAUGGGAAACGGGUUAAUAUUCCCGUACUUGGUGUUACUGCGAAGGGGGGACGGAGAAGGCUAUGUUGGCCGGGCGACGGUUGUCCCGGUUUAAGCGUGUAGGUGUGUGUUCCAGGUAAAUCCGGUUCACUUUAACACUGAGGCGUGAUGACGAGGCACUACGGUGCUGAAGCAACAAAUGCCCUGCUUCCAGGAAAAGCCUCUAAGCAUCAGGUAACAUCAAAUCGUACCCCAAACCGACACAGGUGGUCAGGUAGAGAAUACCAAGGCGCUUGAGAGAACUCGGGUGAAGGAACUAGGCAAAAUGGUGCCGUAACUUCGGGAGAAGGCACGCUGACACGUAGGUGAAGUGAUUUACUCAUGGAGCUGAAGUCAGUCGAAGAUACCAGCUGGCUGCAACUGUUUAUUAAAAACACAGCACUGUGCAAACACGAAAGUGGACGUAUACGGUGUGACGCCUGCCCGGUGCCGGAAGGUUAAUUGAUGGGGUCAGCGCAAGCGAAGCUCCUGAUCGAAGCCCCGGUAAACGGCGGCCGUAACUAUAACGGUCCUAAGGUAGCGAAAUUCCUUGUCGGGUAAGUUCCGACCUGCACGAAUGGCGUAAUGAUGGCCAGGCUGUCUCCACCCGAGACUCAGUGAAAUUGAACUCGCUGUGAAGAUGCAGUGUACCCGCGGCAAGACGGAAAGACCCCGUGAACCUUUACUAUAGCUUGACACUGAACAUUGAGCCUUGAUGUGUAGGAUAGGUGGGAGGCUUUGAAGUGUGGACGCCAGUCUGCAUGGAGCCGGCCUUGAAAUACCACCCUUUAAUGUUUGAUGUUCUAACGUGGACCCGUGAUCCGGGUUGCGGACAGUGUCUGGUGGGUAGUUUGACUGGGGCGGUCUCCUCCUAAAGAGUAACGGAGGAGCACGAAGGUUGGCUAAUCCUGGUCGGACAUCAGGAGGUUAGUGCAAUGGCAUAAGCCAGCUUGACUGCGAGCGUGACGGCGCGAGCAGGUGCGAAAGCAGGUCAUAGUGAUCCGGUGGUUCUGAAUGGAAGGGCCAUCGCUCAACGGAUAAAAGGUACUCCGGGGAUAACAGGCUGAUACCGCCCAAGAGUUCAUAUCGACGGCGGUGUUUGGCACCUCGAUGUCGGCUCAUCACAUCCUGGGGCUGAAGUAGGUCCCAAGGGUAUGGCUGUUCGCCAUUUAAAGUGGUACGCGAGCUGGGUUUAGAACGUCGUGAGACAGUUCGGUCCCUAUCUGCCGUGGGCGCUGGAGAACUGAGGGGGGCUGCUCCUAGUACGAGAGGACCGGAGUGGACGCAUCACUGGUGUUCGGGUUGUCAUGCCAAUGGCACUGCCCGGUAGCUAAAUGCGGAAGAGAUAAGUGCUGAAAGCAUCUAAGCACGAAACUUGCCCCGAGAUGAGUUCUCCCUGAGACUUAGAGUCUCCUGAAGGAACGUUGAAGACGACGACGUUGAUAGGCCGGGUGUGUAAGCGCAGCGAUGCGUUGAGCUAACCGGUACUAAUGAACCGUGAGGCUUAACCUUACA
rnacentral:rRNA from 3 species